AUUGAACGCUGGCGACAGGCCUAACACAUGCAAGUCGAGCGCGAAAGUCUUCGGAUGAGUAAAGCGGCGAACGGGUGAGUAAUGCAUGGGAAUCUGCCUGGUAGUGGGGGACAACGUCUCGAAAGGGACGCUAAUACCGCAUACGCCCUACGGGGGAAAGGGGGGAGUCUUCGGACCUCUCGCUAUCAGAUGAGCCCAUGUCAGAUUAGCUAGUUGGUGAGGUAAAGGCUCACCAAGGCGACGAUCUGUAACUGGUCUGAGAGGAUGAUCAGUCACACUGGAACUGAGACACGGUCCAGACUCCUACGGGAGGCAGCAGUGGGGAAUAUUGGACAAUGGGGGCAACCCUGAUCCAGCCAUGCCGCGUGUGUGAAGAAGGCCCUAGGGUUGGUAAAGCACUUUCAGU
rnacentral:rRNA from 1 species